UGGGGAAUCUUGGACAAUGGGCGCAAGCCUGAUCCAGCCAUGCCGCGUGAGUGAAGAAGGCCUUCGGGUUGUAAAGCUCUUUUACCAGGGACGAUAAUGACGGUACCUGGAGAAUAAGCCCCGGCAAACUUCGUGCCAGCAGCCGCGGUAAUACGAAGGGGGCUAGCGUUGUUCGGAAUUACUGGGCGUAAAGCGCACGUAGGCGGAUUGUUAAGUCAGAGGUGAAAUCCCGGAGCUCAACUUCGGAACUGCCUUUGAUACUGGCAAUCUCGAGUCCGGAAGAGGUUAGUGGAAUUCCCAGUGUAGAGGUGAAAUUCGUAGAUAUUGGGAAGAACACCAGUGGCGAAGGCGGCUAACUGGUCCGGUACUGACGCUGAGGUGCGAAAGCGUGGGGAGCAAACAGGAUUAGAUACCCCGGUAGUCCCUGAGCGGGCUGGCAAGGCGCAU
rnacentral:rRNA from 1 species